UUCUCUGAUGUUAGCGGCGGACGGGUGAGUAACACGUGGAUAACCUACCUAUAAGACUGGGAUAACUUCGGGAAACCGGAGCUAAUACCGGAUAAUAUUUUGAACCGCAUGGUUCAAAAGUGAAAGACGGUCUUGCUGUCACUUAUAGAUGGAUCCGCGCUGCAUUAGCUAGUUGGUAAGGUAACGGCUUACCAAGGCAACGAUGCAUAGCCGACCUGAGAGGGUGAUCGGCCACACUGGAACUGAGACACGGUCCAGACUCCUACGGGAGGCAGCAGUAGGGAAUCUUCCGCAAUGGGCGAAAGCCUGACGGAGCAACGCCGCGUGAGUGAUGAAGGUCUUCGGAUCGUAAAACUCUGUUAUUAGGGAAGAACAUAUGUGUAAGUAACUGUGCACAUCUUGACGGUACCUAAUCAGAAAGCCACGGCUAACUACGUGCCAGCAGCCGCGGUAAUACGUAGGUGGCAAGCGUUAUCCGGAAUUAUUGGGCGUAAAGCGCGCGUAGGCGGUUUUUUAAGUCUGAUGUGAAAGCCCACGGCUCAACCGUGGAGGGUCAUUGGAAACUGGAAAACUUGAGUGCAGAAGAGGAAAGUGGAAUUCCAUGUGUAGCGGUGAAAUGCGCAGAGAUAUGGAGGAACACCAGUGGCGAAGGCGACUUUCUGGUCUGUAACUGACGCUGAUGUGCGAAAGCGUGGGGAUCAAACAGGAUUAGAUACCCUGGUAGUCCACGCCGUAAACGAUGAGUGCUAAGUGUUAGGGGGU
rnacentral:rRNA from 1 species